rnacentral:rRNA from 1 species
ACACAUGCAAGUCGAGCGGAAACGAUCCUAGCUUGCUAGGAGGCGUCGAGCGGCGGACGGGUGAGUAAUGCAUAGGAAUCUGCCCGGUAGUGGGGGAUAACCUGGGGAAACCCAGGCUAAUACCGCAUACGUCCUACGGGAGAAAGCAGGGGAUCUUCGGACCUUGCGCUAUCGGAUGAGCCUAUGUCGGAUUAGCUAGUUGGUGAGGUAAUGGCUCACCAAGGCUGCGAUCCGUAGCUGGUCUGAGAGGAUGAUCAGCCACAUCGGGACUGAGACACGGCCCGAACUCCUACGGGAGGCAGCAGUGGGGAAUAUUGGACAAUGGGCGAAAGCCUGAUCCAGCCAUGCCGCGUGUGUGAAGAAGGCCUUCGGGUUGUAAAGCACUUUCAGUGAGGAAGAAGGCCUUGAGGUUAAUACCCUCGAGGAAGGACAUCACUCACAGAAGAAGCACCGGCUAACUCCGUGCCAGCAGCCGCGGUAAUACGGAGGGUGCGAGCGUUAAUCGGAAUUACUGGGCGUAAAGCGCGCGUAGGCGGCUUGAUAAGCCGGUUGUGAAAGCCCCGGGCUCAACCUGGGAACGGCAUCCGGAACUGUCAGGCUAGAGUGCAGGAGAGGAAGGUAGAAUUCCCGGUGUAGCGGUGAAAUGCGUAGAGAUCGGGAGGAAUACCAGUGGCGAAGGCGGCCUUCUGGACUGACACUGACGCUGAGGUGCGAAAGCGUGGGUAGCAAACAGGAUUAGAUACCCUGGUAGUCCACGCCGUAAACGAUGUCGACUAGCCGUUGGGCUCCUUGAGAGCUUUGUGGCGCAGUUAACGCGAUAAGUCGACCGCCUCGGAUAUGUAA